rnacentral:rRNA from 1 species
ACAGCAGCAGCCGCGGGAAUACAGAGGGUGCGAGCGUUAAUCGGAUUUACUGGGCGUAAAGCGUGCGUAGGCGGCUUCUUAAGUCGGAUGUGAAAUCCCUGAGCUUAACUUAGUAAUUGCAUUCGAUACUGGGAAGCUAGAGUAUGGGAGAGGAUGGUAGAAUUCCAGGUGUAGCGGUGAAAUGCGUAGAGAUCUGGAGGAAUACCGAUGGCGAAGGCAGCCAUCUGGCCUAAUACUGACGCUGAGGUACUAAAGCAUGGGGAGCAAACAGGAUUAGAUACCCCUGUAGUCCCUGUCUCUUAUAC